rnacentral:rRNA from 1 species
GACGAACGCUGGCGGCGUGCUUAGCACAUGCAAGUCGAACGGAAAGGCCCUGCUUUUGUGGGGUGCUCGAGUGGCGAACGGGUGAGUAACACGUGAGUAACCUGCCCUUGACUUUGGGAUAACUUCAGGAAACUGGGGCUAAUACCGGAUAGGAGCUCCUGCUGCAUGGUGGGGGUUGGAAAGUUUCGGCGGUUGGGGAUGGACUCGCGGCUUAUCAGCUUGUUGGUGGGGUAGUGGCUUACCAAGGCUUUGACGGGUAGCCGGCCUGAGAGGGUGACCGGCCACAUUGGGACUGAGAUACGGCCCAGACUCCUACGGGAGGCAGCAGUGGGGAAUAUUGCACAAUGGGCGGAAGCCUGAUGCAGCAACGCCGCGUGCGGGAUGACGGCCUUCGGGUUGUAAACCGCUUUCGCCUGUGACGAAGCGUGAGUGACGGUAAUGGGUAAAGAAGCACCGGCUAACUACGCG